CAAAGAAGUAGGACAAGGCUAACAGGAAGGACACAUCACACCAGAAGCUGCCAGCCAAUCAAAGGCCUCCAACCUCUGGGUUCUAAAGUCUACCGGUCGAAGUAUACCCAUUGGAAGAUUCAGCAGUGAAAAGAGACCAGAAAUCAAGCACCAAUUCAACACAUAUGUUAAGGCAUUUACUAUGAAAAGGAAAUAC